UACGGAGGGUGCAAGCAUUAAUCGGAUUUAUUGGGCGUAAAGGGCGCGUAGGCGGCAAUGUAAGUCAGAUGUGAAAUCCCGGGGCUCAACCCCGGAACUGCAUUUGAAACUGCAUUUCUAGAGGGUAGGCGGAGAAAACGGAAUUCCAGAAGUAGCGGUGGAAUGCGUAGAUAUGUGGAAGAACACCGGUGGCGAAGGCGGUUUUCUAGCUUAUACCUGACGCUAAGGCGCGAAAGCAAGGGGAUCAAACAGG
rnacentral:rRNA from 1 species